GUCUUUUUGAUUUAUAUUUAUUUAAAGUCUAAUCUGCUCACUGAAUUAAAAUUUAAAGAGCCGCAGUAUUUUAACUGUGCAAAGGUAGCAUAAUAAUUUGUUUUUUAAUUGAAAACUAGAAUGAAUGAUUGAACGAGAUAUAUUCUGUCUCAAUUUUAAUUUAAUAUAAAUUAAUUUUUUAGUUAAAAAGCUAAAAUUAGUUUAAAAGACGAGAAGACCCUAUAGAUUUUUAUAUAAUUAUUUAUUAAUUUAUAUAUAUAUGUAUAUAAUAUUUAUAUUUAUAGGUAAUUAUAUUUUAUUGGGGUAAUAAAAAAAUAAAAUUAACUUUUAUAAAAUAAAAACAUAAAUUAAUGAAAAUUUGAUCCAAAUUUAAUGAUUAAAAGAUUAAAUUACCUUAGGGAUAACAGCGUAAUUUUAAUUUUAAGUUCUUAUUGAAAUUAAAGAUUGCGACCUCGAUGUUGGAUUAAGAAAAAUUUUAAAAGAAGAUUUUUAAAUUUUAGGUCUGUUCGACCUUUAAAAUCUU
rnacentral:rRNA from 1 species